rnacentral:rRNA from 1 species
UACGUAGGGUGCGAGCGUUGUCCGGAAUUAUUGGGCGUAAAGGGCUCGUAGGCGGUUUGUCGCGUCGGGAGUGAAAACUCAGGGCUUAACCCUGAGCCUGCUUCCGAUACGGGCAGACUAGAGGUAUGCAGGGGAGAACGGAAUUCCUGGUGUAGCGAUGAAAUGCGCAGAUAUCAGGAGGAACACCGGUGGCGAAGGCGGUUCUCUGGGCAUUACCUGACGCUGAGGAGCGAAAGUGUGGGGAGCGAACAGG